rnacentral:rRNA from 1 species
GAUGAACGCUGGCGGCGUGCCUAAUACAUGCAAGUCGAGCGAACAGACGAGAGUGCUUGCACUCUCUGACGUUAGCGGCGGACGGGUGAGUAACACGUGGUUAACCUACCUUUAAGACUGGUUUAACUUCGGGAAACCGGAGCUAAUCCCGGAUAAUAUUUAGCUUCGCAUGAACCAAUAGUGAAAGACGGUUCUGCUGUCACUUAUAGAUGGACCCGCGGUGUAUUAGCUAGUUGGUGAGGUAACGGCGCACCGAGGCAACGAUACAUAGCCGACCUGAGAGGGUGAUCGGCCACACAGGGACUGAGACACGGCCCAGACUCCUACGGGAGGCAGCAGUAGGGAAUCUUCCGCAAAGGACGAAAGUCUGACGGAGCAAUGCCGCGUGAGUGAAGAAGGUUUUCGGAUAGUAAAACUCUGUUGUAAGGGAAGAACAAGUACGUUAGUAACUGAACGUACCUUGACGGUACCUUAACAGAAAGCCACGGCUAACUACGUG